UAGCAUAUCAAUAAGGGGAGGAAAAGAAACCAACAGGGAUUCGCCCCAGUAACGGCGAGUGAAGCGGCAACAGCUCAAAUUUGAAAUCUGGCCCCGCCUGCCGGGGCCCGAGUUGUUAUUUGCAGAGGAUGCCUUGGGCGACGCGCCGGUCGAGUGCCCUGGAAUGGGCCGCCGUAGAGGGUGAGAGCCCCGUACGGCCGGACGCCCAGCCCGCUGUAAGGCUCCCUCGAAGAGUCGAGUAGCUUGGGAAUGCUGCUCUAAUCUGGAGGUAAACCCCUUCUAAAGCUAAAUACUCGCCGGAGACCGAUUGCGCACAAGUAGAGUGAUCGAAAGAUGAAAAGCACUUUGAAAAGAGAGUCAAACAGCACGUGAAAUUGUUGAAAGGGAAGCGCUUGCGGCCAGACUUGCGCCCCGGCGGCUCAGUCGUCCCCUGUGGGCGGCUCACUCCGCCGGGCGCAGGCCAGCAUCAGUUCGUGGUCGGGGGGAAAGGCGGCGGGAACGUGGCUCCUAGGAGUGUUACAGCCCGCCGCUACGCCCGCCCGCGGACUGAGGUCCGCGCCCCAGUGGCAAGGAUGCUGGCGUAAUGGCCUCCAGCGACCCGUCUUGAAACACGGACCAAGGAGUCGUCCUGGCAUGCGAGUGUUCGGGUGCAAAGCCCCUACGCGCAAUGAAAGUGAACGUUGGUGAGAGCUACGGCGCAUCAUCGACCGAUCCUGACGGUUCCCAGAUGGAUUUGAGUGGGAGCAUGCCGGGCCGGACCCGAAAGAAGAUGAACUAUGCCUGGAUAGGGCAAAGCCAGAGGAAACUCUGGUGGAGGCUCGCAGCGGUUCUGACGUGCAAAUCGAUCGUCAAAUCUGGGCAUGGGGGCGAAAGACUAUUCUAAUCUUCUGGUAUCUGGUUUCCACCCAAU
rnacentral:rRNA from 1 species